GUGAAGAGCUGAUCGGACAGUGAGGGAGUUCAGCAUAAUUUAUGGACUCAAAGCCUGGAGAAAUAAACUACAUGUAUCUACCGAAUAUACACCGAUACAAGCUGCGUCUCUGUUUCCUCUCCAUCAGUGAGUUUGACACGCAUCCGGCUCCUGUUGAUUACAGAGUCUGAAUGUCCGCGCGGAUUGCAGAAUCGGCGAAUCUGCUGCGGUCGUUCCAUCACAUCUGGAGCGGAGACCUGAACCAGGAAGUUGGUCACCAGAUAACACGGUAACCAGUUAAACCGUAACACCGGGAACAGGAUAUUGUUAGACCCUCUGCUCCCAUUCAAAUUACAGCAGAGUUACCGACCGCCACCGUGUUUUAUUCGGAAAUUUAAUCAAAAAAAUCUGGUCGGGUCCAAUGCAGAUCUGUCACUCAGUGUGAGCAUGCUACUCUUCAGCUUCUACACUCCACACAGACACAAUAGCGCACAUUUCUCUAGGUUAACAUUAGAUUGAGCAGCCAUGUAAAGUUGCUAAUACUUACAUAUUUCAGCUGAUAAGCCAUAUUUGAGGUCGAUGAAUGAUAGGUGAGCGUUUGGAUGUCCUGCCUGAUGUACUGUAGGCCUAUUACCACAUAGACCGGCCGUUAACGAUCUGCAUGACUUCACCUGUGGAUUUAUUUAUUU
ensembl:lncRNA